UACAUAUCAAUAAGCGGAGGAAAAGAAACUAACAAGGAUUCCCCUAGUAACUGCGAGUGAAGCGGGAUGAGCUCAAAUUUAAAAUCUGGCAGUUUUAAACUGUCCGAGUUGUAAUCUAGAGAAGUGUUAUCCGUGCUGGACCAUGUACAAGUCUCCUGGAACGGAGCGUCACAGAGGGUGAUAAUCCCGUAUCUGACAUGGACUACCAGUGCUUUGUGAUAUGCUCUCAAAGAGUCGAGUUGUUUGGGAAUGCAGCUCUAAAUGGGUGGUAAAUUCCAUCUAAAGCUAAAUAUUGGCGAGAGACCGAUAGCGAACAAGUACCGUGAGGGAAAGAUGAAAAGAACUUUGGAAAGAGAGUUAAACAGUACGUGAAAUUGUUGAAAGGGAAACGCUUGAAGUCAGUCGCAUUGGUCAGAGAUCAAUCUUGCUUUUUAGCUUGAUGUAUUUUCUGAUUCAAUGGGUCAGCAUCAAUUUUGACUGAUGGAAAAAGGCUGAAUGAAUGUAGCAUCUUUUUGGAUGUGUUAUAGCUUUCAGUCAUAUACAUUGGUUGAGAUUGAGGAUUUUAGCAUGCCGUAAGGCUGGAUUUUUAAUCACAUUCAUGCUUAGGAUGCUGGCAUAAUGGCUUUAAUCGACCC
rnacentral:rRNA from 1 species